UCUUAAAGUAUGUGUCGAAAAUGAUGAGACUUUGGUUCAGAAGCAUUAGUCACCCUGCUGACAUGCCUGUCUUGUCUGCCUGUCUGUCUCUAGCUUAUAAAUACACCACAACAUCACUGUCAGUACACAGUGGGCGGGAGAGACAGGAAGAGAGGAAGAUGUCACAGGUGAAGGAAAUAAUGACGCAAAGGAUGGGUAGAGAAGAAAGAGACACACCUUAAAGAAUAAUAGUUGAAGGGGGGGGGGGGUCGAAGUUGUAGACAACAAAUACUUGGCAUUUGGUGUGGUCUCUACAGUGCAAAAGGUAAGACUAGAUUAUUUUAUGUGUUGGUAGUUUUCAACACAGGUUUCUACAUUGAUAUAUUUUGAACUGAAAUGAGGCUCAAAGCUAGAAGUUAGUGCAGUCACUAUCAAAUUGUGAUAAACUUACAGAUUUUUAACAUGUUGUAGCCUUGUAACAUCUUUUGGCAUUAUUUGUUGUGUGUACUUUUUAAUACCUAUUUAGAAAUGUUACUGAAUGAACUCAAAUGACAAAUUGUUCAUGAUUUAACAUUGUUUACAGAAUGGUGAUGGAACAGUUAUUUGUGGCUGUGCUAAUGAUGUCUGCACACCUAGCAGUCUCAUAUCCUCUGGUAACCAUUUUGCCCCUUUUAUGUCCGUUCUUAGUAUUUGUUAUGACCGCCUAUGAAAGCUGUUAGAACCAUUUGACAUUAUGACAGUCGACAACAUUAUGACAGUCGACCUCAUGAGACUGUGUGCUCGUGUUGUGUGUCGUCAGACUACAGAGAGCUAUUACAUGGAUGGAGGGAGACAAUGCAGACUGUGUCCACCAGGUCAUUAUCAGAAGUCCUGUUCAGAGUGCUCUCCCUGUCGAGAUGGUUCCUACACAACACGAUUGAAUGCUGAGUCCAGUUGUCAUUCCUGCUUUAAAGACUGCAAACAUGAUUUGCACCUGGUGGAGGAUGAGCCGUGUACUCCUGUAUCGGACGCUAGAUGUCGCUGUGAGGCUGGUUUUACCUGCACCGACAAAGACGACCAGACAGGAAACUGUAGAGACUGUGAGAAGAUCCCUCAGCUGCCCCCACCUCCCCUGCCACCUAGCAAUGUAGUGGGCAUCAGAAACAACCAGACAGGAACUUCCUCUGAACACAGCAGGACUUCCUCUUCCGCUGGACGCUGUCAACCUCCCAACUGUGACACUCCACGAUCACCAGUCUCACAAACAGGCAACGCCACUCAUCACACCACAGCUGACACCAGCAAACACUUGGCAGCCAUUUUGUGUCCUAUGGUGGUCAUUGGAAUCCUAGCCYUUAUCAUUCUGUUAUGUAUCCGUCGCCCAGGAAAUGAAGCCUGUUUCAAACAAGCUCUCAAGUUCUGUAACAAGGGAGUAAGAGAAACAUCGCCUAACAAGACCAAAGAGCCACCUCAUCAACACUGUUCCAGAGAGACACAGCCCAGUAUUAAGCACCAGACAGUGGAUCCACCACCUAUUACAGCAGCAAAUAUGGGCCCGGUCCAUGUCCACAAUGCUGGAACAGUCAUCUUCAGUUUACUCAACCAGUUCACUGGUAUGGGUGGAGGGAUGGAAGYGAGAGGGCAGAAAGAGAGGGAUGAGGAAGGAUGUCCGACCCACCCCACACCCUCCCCUAACAUCCAUCUAUCCCAGGAGGAAAGGGAUGGGGAGAUGGACUGUGUAUUCUUCCCUUCACAGGAACAAGGGAAGGACAGUCACAUUUCCAAAGAGGAGGUGCAUUGAGGGGAGGGGGAUUGAGGACAGAGGACGCACCAAGUGAAAGCUUCCCUUCUAGGAUCAGUUUAGCCAACCCUACAUCCUAAUGUUAAUCAUAAGGAGGAUUAAGACUUACCUUGGAUCAGUGGUAAGGGACAACAUCUACCUGGGGCUCUAUUCAGUCUGUAUCACUACAAAUUGCGUGAUAGGAACAGAGGUCAUUUCUGAAUGAGCCAACAUAUGCAGUGUUUAAUGUGAAAGCAGUCUCUUCUGACACAGGAACAUUGUCUUUACAUUUCUAUCAGGCUGUAAAGCUGCACUUCCACAAUACAGAUUGAAUAGAGCCCUUUUAUUUAACUAGACAGGUCAGUUAAGAACAAGUUCUUAUUUUCAAUGACUGCCUAGGAACAGUGGGUUAACUGCCUUGUUCAGGGCAGAACAACAGACUUUUACCUUGUCAGCUCAGGGAUUCGACCUUUUGGUUACUAGUCCAAUGCUCUAACCACUAGGCCACCUGCCACUCUUACUCUCAGAACAUCAGUGAAUCCCAGAACUCUAGAAUGGCCAUUAUUUCCUGUUCUAGACUUAGAUAGAGCUAGGCAUCUCACUAUGGUGGUCAUGUACACAUCCACUUGCUCUCAUUUUAUUGAACUGUAUAAAAAGCUUUGUCUCAACUGCUGCAAACUGUUUUUUUUCUGUGUUCAUGUGGCACCUUGAACUGUUUUUUUCACAAAUUAAAAGCAAAAUACGAAAUAUAAUUUUUCAAUGAAUACAGGUGAUGGGGCGAUUGUAUGACAUUACAGUAGGCCUGUAACAUUUGUGAUUCUGUUCUUUAAAAUACAGCCACUACUAUGUAAGAGUAAACACUGGCAUAAAGCAUAGAUACAGCAAAAAGCAUAAUAAUUGUAACGAAGGUGUAAAACAUCUUCAACAUAAACAUGUACAGUACAUGUAUUCAGCACACAAAUGAGUCUCUGUCUGUCUGUCUGUCUGUCUGUCUGUCUGUCUGUCUGUCUGUCUGUCUGUCUGUCUGUCUGUCUGUCUGUCUGUCUGUCUGUCUGUCUGUCUGUCUGUCUGUCUGUCUGUCUGUCUGUCUGUCUGUCACACUCUUCCAGUUACUCACACUCUUCCAGUUAAAGAUGAGUGACUCCCACUCAUCUUUAGCCUGUGUCUUCAUACUUCAAAGUGUCUUUUUGUCCUAUUUUCUUGUCCUUUCUGAAAGUCCUAGAUACAGAAGCCACUGCAUUAAACCAAUACAGCAGCCUGUCUAGCCUUCAGGUUAGUUUCACUUCAAUGGGAAUGUGAGGUAGUCUGUUUGUCUCCCGGGUCUCCCAGCUCGCUUGUGAGUUCUCAUCCUCUCCUUCGACACCCACUUCCUCCAUCAUACGUCCAGUAGCAGCUCUGGCUUUCCACACACUUCCUGGACUGGCAUGGGCACUUCCUCCUCCGCUGUGCUCUGAUUGGCUGGAGUUGUCUUUUUGGGAGACCAGAAGCCUGAUGGACCAAUAAGAUGAGGUUUAAGUCAAAAUGUGCGUGCAUAUGUAUUGUGUUCAAUAGAACUACAGGACAGAUCAACAGUGACGUGGACUUACUGUUUGGUGAACCAAUCCAUCGCAGAACAGGUUUGAGCUUUGAGAUGGCAACAAGGCAGGUGAGCAGUAGACACACACACACUGCAGACACACACACCGGGAGCCACUUGUUGUCAUCUGUUUGUGUGUAUGAGAGACAGAGGAGUAGAGAGAGGUCAGGGCCAUAAAACACAUUAACACCAGCAUUGUAUUGGGUUUUGUGAGAGAGAGAGAACUAUGUAGCUCUCAUGGCAUUUUUACAUGUCACUUUGAACACUUUCAGGCCAUUUUAUCAUUUGUAUUGUAGUUUACCUUGUUUUGGUUUUGUGCUGGGCCCAAUACCAGGUUUGGUGACCGGUUUAGGUCUAUGAUUAGGGAUACCAGGCACUGAGUGGUUUGACACUGUAGCUGGCAUGAUGGGAGGUGUCGGUAUGAGUUUGGGUGUGUUCGGGCUGGGGAUCUCCUCACAGUCCAGACAGGUGCCACUGCCUCUGCAGCGGUAGCCUGGUUUACAGCUGCACACAUCAUUCUGCUUGGUGGAACAGCGAGAUACAUACUGCAGCUCUGUAACGGAACACAAGUCAUAGAUGGUCUAUUUAUUUGUGUGCCUUCAUGUAUACUGACUUUGACAGUGUUUUUGUCACAUAGUCAAACACAAUCUGAAAUCAUGCCUGAAUAUGAGAAAAUGGCUCAUCUUCAAAAUGACUCAUAGUACCUUGUUGAAUCAGGUUUUGACUCACAACGAACUGAAGUGUAUAUUACCGUCUGACCCCACCCUACACACACACACACACACACACACACACAGCAGCCAUUUCACUAGAGUGAACAUCAGUUAACGUGUUCACUGAGUCUGGCUACUCUCAAACCUCUCUCACCUCUGUGUU
ensembl:lncRNA